AAAGGACUCUGAACAUAAUACCAAACUUGCACAAUGCAUAUCAUCUGAAUUAUAUGAAUGUGAGCUAUUUUAAGAAGCAAAGUUACUUAGUGCAUGUGCCUGUUUGAAUAAAUCACUUUAUAAUCCUUCUUUUGAUGGAAUUACAACUGCCAGAAAUGUUCGGACAAAAAAGACUAUUAUUGGAGGCUGAUUAGACUUCCAUCCACUUGCCCAAGAAUAAUACAAGACACCGAUGUGCUGAUAUUGGAAAAGAAAAUGCUAUAUCCAUGAACAAAGAUUUCUAUUUUGUGGGCCCGUGGCACAUUAAAUCAAAAUAAAGAUUUUCUACCAAC
rnacentral:lncRNA from 1 species